UACGAAGGGGGCUAGCGUUGCUCGGAAUCAUUGGGCGUAAAGGGUGCGUAGGCGGGUCUUUAAGUCAGGGGUGAAAUCCUGGAGCUCAACUCCAGAACUGCCUUUGAUACUGAGAAGCUUGAGUCCGGGAGAGGUGAGUGGAACUGCGAGUGUAGAGGUGAAAUUCGUAGAUAUUCGCAAGAACACCAGUGGCGAAGGCGGCUCACUGGCCCGGUACUGACGCUGAGGUGCGAAAGCGUGGGGAGCAAACAGG
rnacentral:rRNA from 1 species